AUGACGCUGCUUUCUGUUUGUGUCUCUGUAUCCUCAGAGUCCAGAGGACAGGUCACAGUGACUCAGCCUGGAGCAGUGACCUCUGCUCUGGGAGGCUCCGUCACCAUCAGCUGCAGGACCAGUCAGGAUGUUUAUAGCUCUAAUCGUUUAGCCUGGUACCAACAGAAAGAUGGAGGAGUUCCUAAACGUCUCAUUUAUCGUGCUAGCAGCAGAGAUUCAGGAAUUCCAGCUCGUUUUACAGGCAGUGGAUCAAACUCUGACUUCACUCUGACCAUCAGUGGAGUCCAGACUGAAGAUGCAGCAGUUUAUUACUGUCAGAGUUUUCAUUCCAUCAACAGUCAGGAUGUGUUCACACAGUGAAAAAGCGUCGUACAAAAACCUCCCUCAGUCAGACUGAACAGAAACUGACUGAUACAGUUCACUGAACACACACACUCUAGAUUUUCAAAUUGUCCUACAUUCACCAUUUUAUUCCUAAAAUUUUAAAAUGAUAAAUCAAAUAUUUUCAUAUAAAUUAGAAGCACGUUGAGCCACAUUCAUCAUAUAUUUUCGGACAUUGAAAUUUGAGGCUACGUUAAACAAUAAUAUCUCAGGAAUCAUUAAUUGAUAAAAGCUUGAACUUGUUAUUGUUAUUGUUCAUCAUGUCACUGAUUCACAAUCUGGAAACUUGUAGAAGUUGAUCAUAAUUAGCACAAAUUAGCGCAACAAAUACGAAUGCAAAAGUC